ensembl:lncRNA
GUCGCACGGUGCCGCCCUGGCAUCUAAUCAGGGAGCCAGAUGAAGGCAGCAAUCUGUCUCCUUAAAAUAUGCAGAUUUGAUUCGAUUUAUUUAAUUUUUUUUUCCCCUUCCAGUGCUGCAGAACCGUGUUGGAAGGCGCUCGUCGAGAGGCUGCGCCAGGAGCAAUCGCGAGGGACGGAACGAGCGCUUCCCUCGUUAGCAGCGUUUAAUUGCCGGGAGCCGGGGCGCUCCUCGGCGCCCGCCGCGGGAUUUGGGAUGGGCCUGAGGGCCUCCCCACCUUCCACAUGGGAUUGUUCCUCACCUUCCAAAUAAAAUCCAUCCCCACCUUCCACAGGGGAUUGCUCCUCACCUUCCAAAUAAAAUCCAUCCNCCUUCCACAUGGGAUUGUUCCUCACCUUCCAAAUAAAAUCCAUCCCCACCUUCCACAGGGGAUUGCUCCUCACCUUCCAAAUAAAAUCCAUCCCCCAUCUUCUACGCAGAAUUGCUGCUCACCUUCCACAUGGGAUUGUUUCUCACCUUCCAAAUAAAAUCCAUCCCCACCUUCCACAGGGGACUGCUCCUCACCUUCCAAAUAAAAUCCAUCCCCACCUUCCACAGGGGAUUGCUCCUCACCUUCCACAUGGGAUUGCUCCUCACCCUCCACCCUGGAGCUUUCCUCACCUUCCACCCUGGAGCUUUCCUCAACUUCCACAUGGGAUUGUUCCUCACCUUCCAAAUAAAAUCCAUCCCCAUCUUCCACGUGGGAUUGCUCCUCAUGCUCCACACUGGAGCUUUCCUCAACUUCCACAUGGGAUUGCUCCUCACCUUUCACAUAAAAUCCAUCCCCAUCUUCCACGUGGGAUUGCUCCUCACCUUCCACAUUGGAGCUUUCCUCACCUUCCACACCAGACUCUUCCUCACUUCCAGAAGGAUCAUUCCCAACCUUCCACACUGGACCGACCCUUCCUCACCUUCCCACCCAACCCCUUCCCCAUAGACUCCAAAAAUAUCUCAUGGGGCAACCCAUGGCAGGGCACGUGGGAUUGCUCCUCAAGUUCCACCUCCCACAUGGGAUUGUCCCUCAUUUUCCACAUCAGACCCUUCCUCACCGAAUCAUUCCUCACCUUCCACAUCAAACUGCUCCUCAACUUCCACACUGGAGCAUUCCCCACCUUCCACAAGGGAUCGUUCCUCACUUUCCACACUGGACUAUUCUUCAUCUUCCACAUCAGAACAAUCCUCACCUUCCAGAAUAAUCAUUCCCAACCUUCCACACCAGACCCUUCCUCACCUUCCACAUCAGAUCAUUCCUCACUUUCUACAAGGACCACUCCCAACUUUCCACCCCAGAACAUUCCUCACCUUCUACAACAACCAUCCCAACCUUCCACACCAGAACAUUCCUCACCUUCCAGAAUGAUCAUUCCCAACUUUCCAUGCCAGAACAUUCCUCACAUUCUACAACCAUUCCCAACCUUCCACACCAGACCCUUCCUCACCUUCCACACCAGAUCACUCCUCACCUUCCAGAAUGAUCAUUCCCCACCUUCCACACCAGAACAUUCUUCACAUUGUACAAAAACCAUCCCAACCUUCCACACCACAAAAUUCCUCAGCUUCUACAACCAUUCCCAACCUUCCACACCAGAACAUUCCUCACCUUCCAGAAUGAUCAUUCCCAACUUUCCACACCAGAUCAUUCCUCACCUUCCACACCAGAUCAUUCCUCACCUUCCACACCAGAUCAUUCCUCACCUUCUACAACCACUCCCAACUUUCCACACCAGAUCAUUCCCAACCUCCCACACCAGACCCUUCCUCACCUUCNUUCCACACCAGAUCAUUCCUCACCUUCUACAACCACUCCCAACUUUCCACACCAGAUCAUUCCCAACCUCCCACACCAGACCCUUCCUCACCUUCCACACCAGAUCACUCCUCACCUUCCAGAAUGAUCAUUCCCAACUUUCCACCCCAGAACAUUCCUCACAUUCUACAACCAUUCCCAACCUUCCACACCAGAUCCUUCCUCACCUUCCAGAAUGAUCAUUCCCAACUUUCCACACCAGACCCUUCCUCACCUUCCAGAAUGAUCAUUCCCAACUUUCCACACCAGACCCUUCCUCACCUUCCAGAAGGAUCAUUCCCAACUUUCCACACCAGAACAUUCCUCACAUUCUACAACCAUUCCAAACCUUCCACACCAGAACAUUCCUCAC